rnacentral:rRNA from 1 species
UACGUAGGGGGCGAGCGUUGUCCGGAAUCAUUGGGCGUAAAGCGCGUGUAGGCGGCCCGGUAAGUCCGCUGUGAAAGUCCAGGGCUCAACCCUGGGAUGCCGGUGGAUACUGUCGGGCUCGAGUCCGGAAGAGGCGAGUGGAAUUCCUGGUGUAGCGGUGAAAUGCGCAGAUAUCAGGAGGAACACCAAUGGCGAAGGCAGCUCGCUGGGACGGUACUGACGCUGAGGUGCGAAAGCGUGGGGAGCAAACAGG